rnacentral:rRNA from 1 species
GACGAACGCUGGCGGCGUGCUUAACACAUGCAAGUCGAACGGAAAGGCCCUGCUUGCAGGGUACUCGAGUGGCGAACGGGUGAGUAACACGUGGGUGAUCUGCCCUGCACUUCGGGAUAAGCCUGGGAAACUGGGGUUAUUACCGGAAAGGAGCCAUUUUUAGUGUGAUGGUUGGAAAGUUUUUUCGGUGUAGGAUGGGCUCGCGGCCUAUCAGCUUGUUGGUGGGGUAAUGGCCUACCAAGGCGGCGACGGGUAGCCGGCCUGAGAGGGUGGACGGCCACAUUGGGACUGAGAUACGGCCCAGACUCCUACGGGAGGCAGCAGUGGGGAAUAUUGCACAAUGGGCGCAAGCCUGAUGCAGCGACGCCGCGUGGGGGAUGACGGCCUUCGGGUUGUAAACUCCUUUCGCUAGGGACGAAGCUUUUGUGACGGUACCUAGAUAAGAAGCACCGGCUAACUACGUG